ACGGCUCAGUAACACGUGGAUAACCUGCCCUGAGGAGGGGGAUAACUCCGGGAAACUGGAGAUAAUACCCCAUAGGCUACCGAAGCUGGAAUGCUCGGUAACCCAAAGCUCCGGCGCCUCAGGAUGGGUCUGCGGCCGAUUAGGUUGUUGUUGGGGUAACGGCCCAACAAGCCUGUAAUCGGUACGGGUUGUGAGAGCAAGAGCCCGGAGAUGGAUUCUGAGACAUGAAUCCAGGCCCUACGGGGCGCAGCAGGCGCGAAAACUUUACAAUGCGAGCAAUCGUGAUAGGGGAACCCCGAGUGCCUGUACACACAGGCUGUUCAGGUGUGUAAAAAACAUCUGGAGAAAGGGCCGGGCAAGACCGGUGCCAGCCGCCGCGGUAAUACCGGCGGCUCGAGUGGUAACCGCUAUUAUUGGGUCUAAAGGGUCUGUAGCCGGCCGGAUAAGUCUCUUGGGAAAUCCAGCUGCUCAACAGUUGGGCUUUCAGGAGAUACUGUUCGGCUCGAGGCCGGGAGAGGUGAGAGGUACUUCAGGGGUAGGGGUGAAAUCUUGUAAUCCUUGAAGGACCACCAGUGGCGAAGGCGUCUCACCAGAACGGUCCUGACGGCAAGGGACGAAAGCUAGGGGCACGAACCGGAUUAGAUACCCGGGUAGUCCUAGCCGUAAACGAUACUCGCUAGGUGUCAGCCACGGUGCGACCGUGGUUGGUGCCGUAGGGAAGCCGUGAAGCGAGCCACCUGGGGAAGUACGGCCGCAAGGCUGAAACUUAAAGGAAUUGGCGGGGGAGCAC
rnacentral:rRNA from 1 species